AGGACGAACGCUGGCGGCGUGCCUAACACAUGCAAGUCGAGCGGGGACAUACGACGGAGUCAAAGUUUCGGAUGGAGACGAAGAUGUAUGUUCUAGCGGCGGACGGGUGAGUAACGCGUGAGCAACCUGUCCCUUACAGGGGGAUAACACAGCGAAAGUUGUACUAAUACCGCAUGAGACCACGGGUAGACAUCUACCAGGGGUCAAAGGAGCAAUCCGGUAAGGGGUGGGCUCGCGUCCGAUUAGAUAGUUGGUGAGGUAACGGCCCACCAAGUCGACGAUCGGUAGCCGACCUGAGAGGGUGAUCGGCCACAUUGGGACUGAGACACGGCCCAAACUCCUACGGGAGGCAGCAGUGGGGAAUAUUGGGCAAUGGGGGGAAACCCUGACCCAGCAACGCCGCGUGAGGGAAGAAGGUUUUCGGAUCGUAAACCUCUGUCCUUGGUGAAGAGGAAGAGACGGUAGCCAAGGAGGAAGCCCCGGCUAACUACGUGCCAGCCGCGGC
rnacentral:rRNA from 1 species